rnacentral:ribozyme from 1 species
GAAAUUUAGGGAAGACAGAUGUGUUGUGUGUUAUCAUCUUAUCAUUUUCUUUCUUCCCUUCCUAUUUUUUUUUUGCGAAUGUGUGU